GGGAUGCCUAUAUAAGGAGCGCGCGCGGGCAGGUGUGAGAGACGUUUUCCACAGCGCGUGAGGAGAAGCGGGGUGCUGUGAGGGAAAGGCGGCGUCGAUGGCGGCGUCGAUGGCGGCCACGAUUAACUUGGCCACUCUGCCCAACUCUGUGAUCCCCUGCAGCUCCAACUGGAAGUACACCAUGCGCCAGUGAGGAGCCGCUGCCAGAGGCAGGAACAAGCAAGAGGAUGCGGAAGCAUGCCGACGUGGGGGGGAAGGAGAGAGGCUCCCUGGGCAAAGCACCCGUCCCGUUAGCGGGGCGGCAUUCACAUUUAGUCCCAUUUGAGUUUGAGCGUUGCCGGCGCCUUGGCCGGCUUUGUGCUGGGCGACCUCCCUGUAAGCAGGGCUCGGGUCUUUGCUUUUGCUGUAGUUGGCCUUUUGCCUUGCUGCUCCUUUGGCUGCCUGGGGAGCGUGGGCCCCUGUAACGCAGGGCGAGAGCCACCUCUCCGCACCUGAGUGGGAAAUGGAGCUCGCCGGACCCCGAGGCCACCCUGUAAGCAGGGUAGUGCCAUUUCCCCGCCCCUCUUCCUCCUCCGGCCCCUCGGCAUCGUUGCCUGGAGGUGGCCUGUCAAUGCGACGGCCCCGUACUCGGGGAGUGCGUCAGGGCAUCCGGCCUUUGGCUUUAGCUGGGAAGCCCCUUGGCACGUUGAGGUCUGUGGCCUCCGUGCAGGCUAGGGACAGGUCACAGGCUCUUGUCUGUUGCCCGCGGUUGUGGGUUUAUUCCCAGGGUUUGGCUGCGCUGGGUUGUCCUUCCCUUUGGGAAAGUCGCCUCUGUGUGUGCGCGUUGCCCUUCCUUUCCUUGUUUGUGUUUGUGGAGUGAGAGCGACUGAGCUUUCCCUUUAGGCCCCCACAAAGAUGGCUGCAGCUUAGCUUCGACUUCCCUGGGGGGAACGGAGGACUGUGGUGCACGCCGCAAAAGGGGUGUUCCCUCUCAGUCCCGCGAGCGCAGCGAGUGUCCUGUCUUCCUCCUUUGUACUUGGUGUAGAUCAGGGCCACGUGGUAGUUGUGUGGCCGAGGCCGCUCUGUAGCCAGGGCUUGGGCCUGUUCUUGCGUGGGCGCCUGUUCCGCUGGCGGCGUGACAGCCCCGUACCCGGGGCGUGUGUCCCAAGCUGCGGAGCCCUCUGUCCCCCGAGCGGCCUGCCCGCCCUGUAAUCAGGCGUGGGGAGGCUGCGGCGUUGCAGCCGGCUGCUCUAGCCAUCCAGCUGGUGGGAAUGACCCCUCCCUGUCCCGUCAGAGGGUGCAGGUUGAGGCGCUGCUUUUGCGUGUGGGGCGACCUCCCCGCUCGGUGGGUCGAGGCUGCUCCCUGGGUUCCCAAAGACGAGACGUUGGUGCUGUUGUGGUGCUGCCGGGCGGGCCCGCCUGUAGCUCAGGCGUUGGCGGGAGCCUCGUGCUCCGCGGGGCUUCUUGGUGAGGGUGGGCAGCGGGGGCACCGUCCUGUAGGCAGGGCUGCGUGUGCCCCCCGCGUGUGCUUGCUUGGUGAGCUGCGUUGUGAGAGACCCCCUGUACUCAGGCGGGAAUGUGGCCCCGGCCUUUCAGAGGCACGGGGCUGCGAGACGUGGGCUUGGGCUUGCGCCCUCCCCGGAAUCAGGGCUGGGGUCCCAACCGCGGCAUUUGGCCGUGCCGCCCCGCUGCCUGGCAGCUGAGAGUCGCUCCCGCCGCUGGGGGGGAAACCGAGCUCUGUGGCUCCAGGGGUGUCGUCCACCCGCCUGUAAUCAGGGUCUGGGUGCGCGAGCGCUUGUGCUCAGCUGGCAGCCUGUGUGGGGUGACCGCCCCGCUAGCGGGGUGCGGGUCCAGGUGCCCCCGGACUGGGAGAGAAGGAGCCUCCCGCGGCCGCUAGGGAUGGGGGCUGCCCUGUAAGGCAGGGAGCAACAGUGCCCCGCAGUCCCAGGCCCUUUGCAAUGGAGGCAGUGGCCGGGGGUCCCCUGUAAGCAGGGAAGCUGCCUCUUUGGCCGCUGCUGUGUGUGUGCCCAGCUGCAUUUGCCCAGUCUGCCCGCCUCUGUGAUCCCCCGCAGCACCGACUGGAAGCGCGCCGUGCGUCAGUGAGGAGCCGCUGCGGAAGAGAGAAGGAGAAGCGGCGUGGGAACGCGGGAGGCAGGAGCGAGCGCGCAAGCAAGCAAGAAGAGGAUGCGGAAGCGUGCCGACGUGGGGGGGAAGGAGAGAGGCUCCCUGGGCAAAGCACCCGUCCCGUUAGCGGGGCGGCAUUCACAUUUAGUCCCAUUUGAGUUUGAGCGUUGCCGGCGCCUUGGCCGGCUUUGUGCUGGGCGACCUCCCUGUAAGCAGGGCUCGGGUCUUUGCUUUUGCUGUAGUUGGCCUUUUGCCUUGCUGCUCCUUUGGCUGCCUGGGGAGCGUGGGCCCCUGUAACGCAGGGCGAGAGCCACCUCUCCGCACCUGAGUGGGAAAUGGAGCUCGCCGGACCCCGAGGCCACCCUGUAAGCAGGGUAGUGCCAUUUCCCCGCCCCUCUUCCUCCUCCGGCCCCUCGGCAUCGUUGCCUGGAGGUGGCCUGUCAAUGCGAUGCGACGGCCCCGUACUCGGGGUGUGCGUCAGGGCAUCCGGCCUUUGGCUUUAGCUGGGAAGCCCCUUGGCACGUUGAGGUCUGUGGCCUCCGUGCAGGCUAGGGACAGGUCACAGGCUCUUGUCUGUUGCCCGCGGUUGUGGGUUUAUUCCCAGGGUUUGGCUGCGCUGGGUUGUCCUUCCCUUUGGGAAAGUCGCCUCUGUGUGUGCGCGUUGCCCUUCCUUUCCUUGUUUGUGUUUGUGGAGUGAGAGCGACUGAGCUUUCCCUUUAGGCCCCCACAAAGAUGGCUGCAGCUUAGCUUCGACUUCCCUGGGGGGAACGGAGGACUGUGGUGCACGCCGCAAAAGGGGUGUUCCCUCUCAGUCCCGCGAGCGCAGCGAGUGUCCUGUCUUCCUCCUUUGUACUUGGUGUAGAUCAGGGCCACGUGGUAGUUGUGUGGCCGAGGCCGCUCUGUAGCCAGGGCUUGGGCCUGUUCUUGCGUGGGCGCCUGUUCCGCUGGCGGCGUGACAGCCCCGUACCCGGGGCGUGUGUCCCAAGCUGCGGAGCCCUCUGUCCCCCGAGCGGCCCGCCCGCCCUGUAAUCAGGCGUGGGGAGGCUGCGGCGUUGCAGCCGGCUGCUCUAGCCAUCCAGCUGGUGGGAAUGACCCCUCCCUGUCCUGUCAGAGGGUGCAGGUUGAGGCGCUGCUUUUGCGUGUGGGGCGACCUCCCCGCUCGGUGGGUCGAGGCUGCUCCCUGGGUUCCCAAAGACGAGACGUUGGUGCUGUUGUGGUGCUGCCGGGCGGGCCCGCCUGUAGCUCAGGCGUUGGCGGGAGCCUCGUGCUCCGCGGGGCUUCUUGGUGAGGGUGGGCAGCGGGGGCACCGUCCUGUAGGCAGGGCUGCGUGUGCCCCCCGCGUGUGCUUGCUUGGUGAGCUGCGUUGUGAGAGACCCCCUGUACUCAGGCGGGAAUGUGGCCCCGGCCUUUCAGAGGCACGGGGCUGCGAGACGUGGGCUUGGGCUUGCGCCCUCCCCGGAAUCAGGGCUGGGGUCCCAACCGCGGCAUUUGGCCGUGCCGCCCCGCUGCCUGGCAGCUGAGAGUCGCUCCCGCCGCUGGGGGGGAAACCGAGCUCUGUGGCUCCAGGGGUGUCGUCCACCCGCCUGUAAUCAGGGUCUGGGUGCGCGAGCGCUUGUGCUCAGCUGGCAGCCUGUGUGGGGUGACCGCCCCGCUAGCGGGGUGCGGGUCCAGGUGCCCCCGGACUGGGAGAGAAGGAGCCUCCCGCGGCCGCUAGGGAUGGGGGCUGCCCUGUAAGGCAGGGAGCAACAGUGCCCCGCAGUCCCAGGCCCUUUGCAAUGGAGGCAGUGGCCGGGGGUCCCCUGUAAGCAGGGAAGCUGCCUCUUUGGCCGCUGCUGUGUGUGUGCCCAGCUGCAUUUGCCCAGUCUGCCCGCCUCUGUGAUCCCCCGCAGCACCGACUGGAAGUGCGCCGUGCGUCAGUGAGGAGCCGCUGCGGAAGAGAGAAGGAGAAGCGGCGUGGGAACGCGGGAGGCAGGAGCGAGCGCGCAAGCAAGCAAGCAAGCAAGAAGAGGAUGCGGAAGCGUGCCGACGCGGGGGGGAAGGAGAGAGGCUCCCUGGGCAAAGCACCCGUCCCGUUAGCGGGGCGGCAUUCACAUUUAGUCCCAUUUGAGUUUGAGCGUUGCCGGCGCCUUGGCCGGCUUUGUGCUGGGCGACCUCCCUGUAAGCAGGGCUCGGGUCUUUGCUUUUGCUGUAGUUGGCCUUUUGCCUUGCUGCUCCUUUGGCUGCCUGGGGAGCGUGGGCCCCUGUAACGCAGGGCGAGAGCCACCUCUCCGCACCUGAGUGGGAAAUGGAGCUCGCCGGUCUUUCUGCUUCAUGCAUUGCUCUUCUCCCUUCACUGAAUCUUAUCUUCAGAUCUGUUGUUCUGUUCAAAAUUUGUAGUUCAGCUUUUUAUUAAAACUCAAAGGAAUAACAUGAUCCCAUGUAUCUUAGAAUCCUAAGCGAAGCAGGCGCCUGCUUCUCUUUGCCUGUGUUUUCUAAUUGCCACUUCACAAUGUUAUGUUAUUGGCAAAAAUGUCAACAGGACACCAAGGAAAUGCUAGUUAAUGCACGGCGAGGCACAAUUAAUCUUCAUGUAAAUCAGGAUAGCUGCUCAGUCUUUCAUAUCCAAUACACGUCAUAACAGUUGAUGUGCAACAAGAUCAUCAGCUAAGAUCUGUAUACAAGUGCAAUAACAGAUCAGAUAUCUAUCUUCAUAAACUCAGAACAAAACUGAAGGAAAGUAGAACCAGUGUUGAGCACCAGAAACAAAACAAGCAAUUAAUUCUCAACUCCAAAGAUAAAUUUAGAACACCGCAGAAACUGGUUUCCCUAGAUGCAAGCAUAAUAAAACGCAACUCGUAUUUUGUUAAAUGCCUUUUCUGAGGUCCUGGAAAAUCGAGUAGGAGUCUGAAAAAGAAAAGCAUUAAGAAAAUCUCGAUAUUAAAACCAUUAAAGAGCAAGAAAUUUUAAUAUAACUGAGAAAGUAUUUGAAGGGAGAAAUAGUCUCCCUGCCCAUUUCCUAAAAACGUGCACUGCGCAAGGAAGUGGAAAGUAAUUAUUCCAGGAACAUCUGUGGUAAAAUCUCUAAUUACAAUCAUUCAGAUAAAAGUUAAUUGAAAGCACACCUGUAAUGUAGCAGAAUGCUUUUCCCUGCACAGCACCAUCUCAGACUCACUCUCUUCGGCCCUCUCCGUUAUUAAAUUUAAAUAGGAACAAGCAGCUGCACAGGCACUUCUAAUUUUUUCUUAUUUGCUGAACAAAACAAUAUUGCCUCUUCCAAGAGGGUGUUGUGCAGAAGGGUGUAGUCUUCCCAUUUUGAUAAGGAAAGAAAUAACCGCUUGCUGUCUAAUGGUGUUGAGAGAAGUUACAAGAGUAACUUGAACAUAGAGUUCAAAAACAAAGAAGCCCAUACACCAUUGCAAUUGCCCAUGUUUCCGGUUCACAAAAAUCUGACUAGUCAUGAAAGGCAUCCACUUUAUGCCCCCAGAAAGUCAGAUACAUUCUGCUAACAAGCACAGUAAGACAAACCAGUUCUGAAGCUUACAGGUUAGGUAUUAGCAAGAACUUUAGAAGAGACCCAAAGGGAAAUGCUUGAACACCCCUGUCUCCAAAAUAUUUGUCUAGCUUGCUUGCAGCAUGUCAAAAUUACUGUGCCCUGUGAGAAGAUGUGUCAGUUGAAAUUUGAGGCAGGACGGUGGGCAGAUUAAGUUCCAGCUGGGUUUUUGCUUAGUUUUCUCUCUGCAUAAUAAACAGAGUGUGGAAAAAAGCUAUUUGCUUUCAGAAUCUUUGAUGAAGUUUCAUUUUAAAAGGAUUGCACGGGAUACAUGAAAACAACAUUAGUGUAAUACAUUGAACUAGUAGCAAGCUGGUAUGUAAGUUGCUCCAAAAGUAAUAGCUAUUUAUUUCCAAGGAAACUACCACAGAUGCAAAGAGCCAAUGAACACUAUUAGAUAGAGCAAGUUUUCAGCUACAAAUGACUUGUUCAACUUAGCCACUACCAUUAGCAGUGCAUUUUCACCACGUGGAGGAAUUAAAUUCCACACUUCCAUGUCAGACUUCUCCUCUGCUGUCAUCUGUCACACAGCAGCAAAGUGUAACAGAAAACUGAUGGAAGGUUCAGCCUGUACUGCCAUACUACCAACAUCCACCUCUGAUAUCGUGGGCCAACAUAACAAUAUAGGAAGAAUUAAUCAGCAUUAGAAAAAUAAAAAAUGGCCUUAAAAAAGACCCACUCACCCCACCCCACAAACAAAACCCACAAAAAAAAACCACCUUUGCCCUGUUCUUUCCUGCUUAAGAUCAGAGGAAGGACAUUACACUACAGCUGGUGCAUAACAGAAGCAUCUUCCCAACUUCCACUUUCCUAGCUCUCUUAGGCUAUACCUAGGUAUCUCAGCCAUUAAUUGCUGGUAGCAAGUUAGCUCACAGUGGCAGAACUUCUUACUGACCUGCCUGGGAGGGCUACUGUAUUAAAAGCAAGUAAAUCCACAUUAGAGAUGUCAGUCUCCAAGCACUCAAUAACUGACCCAUUCAAAACAAAUGCUAAAUGUCCAGAGAUCGUGUCAGAUA